rnacentral:rRNA from 1 species
AACAAACGCUGGCGGCGUGCUUAACACAUGCAAGUCGAACGAGACCUUCGGGUCUAGUGGCGCACGGGUGCGUAACGCGUGGGAAUCUGCCCUUUGCUACGGAAUAACUCAGAGAAAUUUGUGCUAAUACCGUAUAAUGUCGAAAGACCAAAGAUUUAUCGGCAAAGGAUGAGCCCGCGUAGGAUUAGCUAGUUGGUGAGGUAAAGGCUCACCAAGGCGACGAUCCUUAGCUGGUCUGAGAGGAUGAUCAGCCACACUGGGACUGAGACACGGCCCAGACUCCUACGGGAGGCAGCAGUGGGGAAUAUUGGACAAUGGGCGAAAGCCUGAUCCAGCAAUGCCGCGUGAGUGAUGAAGGCCUUAGGGUUGUAAAGCUCUUUUACCAGGGAUGAUAAUGACAGUACCUGGAGAAUAAGCUCCGGCUAACUCCGUGCCAGCAGCCGCCGUAAGAC